UACAGAGGGGGCAAGCGUUGUUCGGAUUCAUUGGGCGUAAAGGGUGCGUAGGUGGCGCUGUAAGUCGGGUGUGAAAUUUCGGAGCUUAACUCCGAAACUGCAUUCGAUACUGCGGUGCUUGAGGACUGGAGAGGAGACUGGAAUUCAUGGUGUAGCAGUGAAAUGCGUAGAGAUCAUGAGGAAGACCAGUGGCGAAGGCGGGUCUCUGGACAGUUCCUGACACUGAGGCACGAAGGCCAGGGGAGCAAACGGG
rnacentral:rRNA from 1 species